rnacentral:rRNA from 1 species
CGGCCGGGUGAGUAACACGUGGAUAACCUACCUAUAAGACUGGGAUAACUUCGGGAAACCGGAGCUAAUACCGGAUAAUAUUUUGAACCGCAUGGUUCAAAAGUGAAAGACGGUCUUGCCGUCACUUAUAGAUGGAUCCGCGCUGCAUUAGCUAGUUGGUAAGGUAACGGCUUACCAAGGCAACGAUGCAUAGCCGACCUGAGAGGGUGAUCGGCAACGCUGGAACUGAGACACGGUCCAG